CUUUUUUAAAAAACAAAAUAUUACAUGCCCAAUCUUGUCUGAUCUCAGAAGCUAAGCAGGGUCAGACCUGGUUAGUAUUUGGAUGGGAGACCACCUAGGAAUACUAGGUGCUACAGGC
rnacentral:rRNA from 1 species